GUAACGCCCCAAUUUUUUUAUCAAGCAUAAACACGGGAACGUUACGAAAACUCAUUUUUCUUUAAUUAAAAAAAAAUGCGGAACUAUAUAAAAUUCUUCAAUAAACAAAUAAUUGUAACGUUUAAAUUAAAAUUAUUGAAAGCGUAUCUAACCAUAAACAUAAACUCCUAAGUAAUUCAAAUAAUGCGUUCUAAAUUAAAAUAAACAAAUUGCUAAAUUUAAAAUGGCAAACUUAUUUCUUUUUC
rnacentral:lncRNA from 1 species